CAUCAUUUGACAAGAGCUACCACCUUCUAGCCCUGAAAAACAACGGAGGCCUAGUGAUUCCAUCAAGGCACAGUAAAGGUGCUGAGAGCUGCAGAGAGGGUGAUCCGCCAAGCUUCAGCAAUACAAGCUCCUAAGGUGUCAACAGUCACACACAUUGUGUGGGAGGAGAUUGGGACAGAGGAUGUUUUCCUUCUUGGGGAGCACAUUGAGGAGACCCAGAUUGGCAUUGACAAUCAGUCUGAUUUGUUGUCAUUGGUUGUGUCCGUGUUCCUAAAGAUAAGGCUCCACCAUGUUGCCAAACUCGCCUCUCCUGAACUACAAAAAGGGAGCAUGAGAGAGAAGCUCUGCAAAACAGUCCUCUUUCAGGGGUUUUUGUGAGUGUGUGUGUGAGAGAGAGAGAGAAAAGAGUGUGUGUGUGUGUGAGAGAGUGUGUAUAUCACAAAUCAUUAUAAAUUGUUUCUUCAACUUAUUAAAAUAUCUUAUUUUACUGCAACUAUCUAUUUCUGCUUCAUCAUAUUUAUAGUGUGUGACUUAUAAAUUACCUUAUAUCCUACAUCACAUAUUUUGAUUUUGGACGUCUGGUCACUUUAUAUCUUAUAUCAGAAUAUUAUAUAACUGUUAAGCCUACUAUGAAUAUUAAAAUACGCUGAACCAUGUGUCCUGUAUUAUAGCUACAUGAAUGACCUUUGCAGGAAAAAAAACCCGCGUCAAAAUCAGUGAGGUAUUUAGUGAGAUAUGAUUAAUUAAAUGCGCUGACAGCUCAUUGCACCUGACAAACAAGUUACACUGAGUGGAGCUGGCGACCGAUCCAAGAUGGAUAUAUGUGAUGUCUAUGGCUGCAUCCGAAAACUGAAAGAUGCUGCCUUCGGAGAACGCAUUCCAAGGUAGGAAGGCAUCAAGGCACGUCCGAAUUCAAUGUUAGCUUCAGUUCCUGUCUCCUGAGAUGCCUUCAUCUUGGCGAUUUUUGAAGGCAGCAUAGAUGUAUCCUUCGCUGCCUUUGAUAUC
ensembl:lncRNA